CGCAGCUACCAUGCAGUCGAGCGAACCUUCGGGUUAGCGGCGGACGGGUGAGUAACGCGUGGGAACGUACCCUCUUCUGCGGGAUAGCCACUGGAAACGGUGAGUAAUACCGCAUACGCCCUUCGGGGGAAAGAUUUAUCGGAGGAGGAUCGGCCCGCGUUGGAUUAGGUAGUUGGUGGGGUAAUGGCCUACCAAGCCUACGAUCCAUAGCUGGUUUUAGAGGAUGAUCAGCCACACUGGGACUGAGACACGGCCCAGACUCCUACGGGAGGCAGCAGUGGGGAAUCUUAGACAAUGGGCGCAAGCCUGAUCUAGCCAUGCCGCGUGAGUGACGAAGGCCUUAGGGUCGUAAAGCUCUUUCGCCAGAGAUGAUAAUGACAGUAUCUGGUAAAGAAACCCCGGCUAACUCCGUGCCAGCAGCCGCGGUAAUACGGAGGGGGUUAGCGUUGUUCGGAAUUACUGGGCGUAAAGCGCACGUAGGCGGAUUGGAAAGUUGGGGGUGAAAUCCCAGGGCUCAACCCUGGAACUGCCUCCAAAACUCCCAGUCUGGAGUUCGAGAGAGGUGAGUGGAAUUCCGAGUGUAGAGGUGAAAUUCGUAGAUAUUCGGAGGAACACCAGUGGCGAAGGCGGCUCACUGGCUCGAUACUGACGCUGAGGUGC
rnacentral:rRNA from 1 species